rnacentral:rRNA from 1 species
GACGAACGCUGGCGGCGCGCUUAACACAUGCAAGUCGAACGGAAAGGCCUGCUUUCCCUUGUGGAUUGAGGGUACUCGAAUGGCGAACGGGUGAGUAACUCGUGAGCGAUCUGCCCCCAACUUGGGUAUAAGCCUGGGAAACUGGGCCUAAUUUCCGCUAGGACUGCAGGGUGGUGCCUGUGGUGGAAAACGUCUUUCUAGUGGUUGGGGAUGAGCCUGCGGGCUAUCAGCUUGUUGGUGGGGUAAUGGCCUACCAAGGCGGCGACGGGUAGGCGGGCUGGGAGGGUGGACGGGCACAUUGGGACUGGGGUACGGCCCAGGAUCCUACGGGGGGCAGGAGUGGGGGAUAUUGGAAAAUGGGCGGAAGGCUGAUGCAGGGGCGCCGGGUGGGGGAUGACGGGCUUCGGGUUGUAAACUCCUUUCGACCGAGAGGAAGCCACCUGGUUGGAAGGGUGGUGACGGUAGUGGUAGAAGAAGCGCCGGCUAACUACGUG